rnacentral:rRNA from 1 species
AUUGAACGCUAGCGGCAGGCUUAACACAUGCAUGUAGAGCGAGCGGCGUACGGGUGAGUAAUGUCUGGGACACUGCCCGGUGGAGGGGGAUCACUACUGGAAACGGUGGCUAAUACCGCACACCAUCAGCUGUGCCCAGAUGGGAUUAGCUAGUGGGUGGGGUAAUGGCGCACCUAGCCGACGAUCGCUAGCUGGUCUGAGAGGAUGACCAGCCACACUGGAAAGGAGACACGGUCCAGACUCCUACGGGAGGCAGCAGUGGGGAAUAUUGCACAAUGGGCGCAAGCCCGAUGCAGCCACGCCGCGGAUGUGAAGAAGGCCCUCGGGUUGUAAAGCACUCUCAGCGAGGAGGCGGUAAUCGCAGAAGAAGCACCGGCUAACUCCGUGCCAGCAGCCGCGGUAAUUC